rnacentral:rRNA from 1 species
ACUAUGCCUAGUAGUAAACUUUAACUUACCCUUACAUCGCCCGGGAACUACGAGCCAAGCUUAAAACCCAAAGGACUUGACGGUACCCCAUAUCCCCCUAGAGGAGCCUGUCCUAUAAUCGAUAAUCCCCGCUUAACCUCACCAUUUUUUGCUAAUCAGCCUGUAUACCUCCGUCGUCAGCUUACCACGUGAGCGUCAGUGAGCCUAAUGUUUUUCCAACUAUACGUCAGGUCAAGGUGCAACAUAUAAAAUGGAAAGAGAUGGGCUACACUUUCUAUCAUAGAAUAAACGAAAGACUAAAUGAAACCUGGUCAGAAGGCGGAUUUAGUAGUAAAAUGAAACUAGAGCGUUCACUUAAAUACGGCACUGGGGUGUGUACACACCGCCCGUCACCCUCCUCAACUCUGCAUAAAAGUUUUUAACGCCUUUUCAGAGACUCAGAAGAGGCAAGUCGUAACACGGUAAG